GACAGAGGAUGCAAGCGUUAUCCGGAAUUACUGGGCGUAAAGCGUGCGCAGGCGGCUUUGCAAGACAGAUGUGAAAUCCCCGGGCUCAACCUGGAGCCGCCACCUGAUACUGCGAUGGCUUGAGUCCAGUAGGGGCGCGCGGAAUUCCAGGUGUAGCGGUGAAAUGCGUAGAUAUCUGGAGGAACACCGGUGGCGAAGGCGGCAUCCUGGACCGGCAUUGACGCUGAGGAGCGAAAGCCAGGGGAGCAAACGGG
rnacentral:rRNA from 1 species